rnacentral:rRNA from 1 species
AGAGUUUGAUCCUGGCUCAGGAUGAACGCUAGCGGCAGGCCUAAUACAUGCAAGUCGAACGGUAAAUAUUUAGCAAUAAAUAUGAGAGUGACGUACGGGUGCGUAACACGUAUGCAACCUACCCUUUACAGGCGGAUAGCUCGGGGAAACUCGAAUUAACCCGCCGUAAUAUAAUUGGAUGGCAUCAUCUGGUUAUUAAAUCUACGGAGGUAAAGGAUGGGCAUGCGUCUGAUUAGUUAGUUGGCGGGGUAACGGCCCACCAAGACGAUGAUCAGUAGGGGAACUGAGAGGUUGAUCCCCCACACUGGCACUGAGAUACGGGCCAGACUCCUACGGGAGGCAGCAGUAGGGAAUAUUGGUCAAUGGAUGGAAGUCUGAACCAGCCAUGCCGCGUGCAGGAAGAAGGCCUUCUGGGUUGUAAACUGCUUUUGCCAGGGGAUAAAAUGACCUUGCGAGGUUAAUUGAAGGUACCUGGUGAAUAAGCCACGGCUAACUACGUGCCAGCAGCCGCGGUAAUACGUAGGUGGCAAGCGUUGUCCGGAUUUAUUGGGUUUAAAGGGUGCGUAGGCGGCUUAUUAAGUCAGUGGUGAAAUACUCUAGCUCAACUAGAGGGGUGCCAUUGAUACUGAUGAGCUUGAGUACAGAUGAGGUAGGCGGAAUUGACGGUGUAGCGGUGAAAUGCUUAGAUAUCGUCAAGAACACCUAUAGCGAAGGCAGCUUACUAGGCUGUAACUGACGCUGAGGCACGAAAGUGUGGGGAUCAAACAGGAUUAGAUACCCUGGUAGUCCACGCCGUAAACGAUGGAUACUAGCUGUUCGGGGCAACCUGAGUGGCUAAGCGAAAGUGAUAAGUAUCCCACCUGGGGAGUACGUUCGCAAGAAUGAAACUCAAAGGAAUUGACGGGGGCCCGCACAAGCGGUGGAGCAUGUGGUUUAAUUCGAUGAUACGCGAGGAACCUUACCAGGGCUUAAAUGUGGCCUGACAGGACCGGAAACGGUUUUUCCUUCGGGCAGGUCACAAGGUGCUGCAUGGUUGUCGUCAGCUCGUGCCGUGAGGUGUCAGGUUAAGUCCUAUAACGAGCGCAACCCCUGUCGUUAGUUGCCAGCGAGUCAUGUCGGGAACUCUAACGAGACUGCCAGUGCAAACUGAGAGGAAGGUGGGGAUGACGUCAAAUCAUCACGGCCCUUACGCCCUGGGCUACACACGUGCUACAAUGGACGGUACAGAGAGCAGCCACUGGGCGACCAGGAGCGAAUCUACAAAACCGUUCACAGUUCGGAUCGGAGUCUGCAACUCGACUCCGUGAAGCUGGAAUCGCUAGAAAUCGGAUAUCAGCCAUGAUCCGGUGAAUACGUUCCCGGGCCUUGUACACACCGCCCGUCAAGCCAUGGAAGCUGGGGGUGCCUGAAGUCGGUGACCGCAAGGAGCUGCCUAGGGUAAAACCGGUAACUGGGGCUAAGUCGUAACAAGGUA